rnacentral:rRNA from 1 species
CGGAGGAUCCAAGCGUUAUCCGGAAUCAUUGGGUUUAAAGGGUCCGUAGGCGGUUUUAUAAGUCAGUGGUGAAAUCUGGUCGCUCAACGAUCAAACGGCCAUUGAUACUGUAGAACUUGAAUUACUUGGAAGUAACUAGAAUAUGUAGUGUAGCGGUGAAAUGCUUAGAGAUUACAUGGAAUACCAAUUGCGAAGGCAGGUUACUACAAGUGGAUUGACGCUGAUGGACGAAAGCGUGGGGGAGCGAACAGGAUUAGAUACCCUGGUAGUCCACGCCGUAAACGAUGGAUACUAGCUGUUCGGAGCAAUCUGAGUGGCUAAGCGAAAGUGAUAAGUAUCCCACCUGGGGAGUACGAACGCAAGUUUG